CAACAUCCUGCCACAACGUUCGGUGGCCACACAAAAUCCCCUCGCGCCAAGCAUAGAUAGAGCCUCUCAAGCCACUUGGCAACUAGCAGGGCCUCACCAGUCACCAAAAAACACCAAGCCUAAUCGUUUCGCCUUACGGCUUAGCUAGCAAGCCAGUACAAGAACCCUGGGUACAAAUAAUUGCAUCUUUAUUGUUAUUUAAGUAUUUUUCCAAAAGAUGGUGAAGAAUCACCUCUUCCUAGGACCCCGGCUAGAAUUGAUACACCUUCAAGCAGAGGAGAUGUUGCUAGUCCUGCAGCAAUCAGAUCCUGGACGAUCCCAC